AAGAGCACGACAUUGCUCACAUUGCUUCCAGUAUUAUUUUAGCCAGCCUAGGUGCUGGCUUUUUUUU
rnacentral:antisense_RNA from 1 species